rnacentral:rRNA from 1 species
AUGACAGGUGGACCCGGGCAAUCCAAUCAUAUCCCGAACAGUUGCGCUGCACGAUACGUGGCGGAAAAAGCGGCGCGGAAAUCGAGGCGUUCCUGUUAUGUCCCAUCCGAACGCCGCAGUCCGUUCCGCUUCGCGCGCUUCCCCAAAUUUCGUAUCCCGCGAGAUCCGCGAGGGACAGAUCGGUCUGUCAAGCGCGAGAUUUCCUGCGAUCCGUCGCUCGGGAAUAGCAAAGUAAAAGAAGGUCACUCGACCAAAGAACAAGAAUGGAUCAAGUCGACUGAAGAAAAGUUGCUUGUUAUCAACAGGGAAGAUCUUGAUCCAAGACAACACGUAGCUGGUACGCAAAAGACAAUCGGAAACAACGUCAACUCCUCCUUCACUCAAGCCUCAAUCCAUUCGGGGGCUAAUGAUGGAUUCAUAUACCUAGGGUAG